rnacentral:rRNA from 1 species
UACGAAGGGGCUAGCGUUGUUCGGAAUCACUGGGCGUAAAGGGCGCGUAGGCGGCUUUAUAAGUCGGGGGUGAAAGCCUGUGGCUCAACCACAGAAUUGCCUUCGAUACUGUAGAGCUUGAGACCGGAAGAGGUAAGUGGAACUGCGAGUGUAGAGGUGAAAUUCGUAGAUAUUCGCAAGAACACCAGUGGCGAAGGCGGCUUACUGGUCCGGUUCUGACGCUGAGGCGCGAAAGCGUGGGGAGCAACAGG